rnacentral:lncRNA from 1 species
UAUGAUGUGUUAAUUUGAAGAAACUACAAAAUUUUCUUUUUCUUUUCUAGUGAUUCAUAAUUCGAAGCAUUAAACAAAACAACUAAAUGACACAUCAAUAAGAAGAAUCUAUACAGUUUCGAUUGAUCCUAACCAUUGGCAAAACUUUCAUGGAUUUAAUAAAUGUUACAAGAAUUAUAAAAUCAGUUCUGCAAAAGCAGAUUCAACCCUAGGGGAGAAAACGCUCUUAAGAAAUAUAACAUGAUGACAUCAAUGAAGAUAUCUUUCUAACAAAGGAACAGGUCUGUGUGUGAGGUUGACAGAACUGCCAAGGUGCAAGCAAGGAGAGAAGCAUCCUAGAGAAUCU